GACGAACGCUGGCGGCGUGCUUAACACAUGCAAGUCGAGCGGAAAGGCUCCUUCGGGGGUACUCGAGCGGCGAACGGGUGAGUAACACGUGAGUAAUCUGCCCUUGGCUUUGGGAUAACUACCGGAAACGGUGGCUAAUACCGGAUACGACCACUCCUUGCAUGAGGUGGUGGUGGAAAGUUUUUUCGGCCAGGGAUGUGCUCGCGGCCUAUCAGCUUGUUGGUGGGUAAUGGCCUACCAAGGCUUCGACGGGUAGCCGGCCUGAGAGGGUGACCGGCCACACUGGGACUGAGACACGGCCCAGACUCCUACGGGAGGCAGCAGUGGGGAAUAUUGGACAAUGGGCGGAAGCCUGAUCCAGCAACGCCGCGUGAGGGAUGACGGCC
rnacentral:rRNA from 1 species